rnacentral:rRNA from 1 species
GAUGGACGCUAGCGGGAGGCUUAACACAUGCAAGUCGAGGGGCAGCAUAGGGUAGCAAUACUCUGAUGGCGACCGGCAAACGGGUGAGUAACGCGUAUGCAACCUACCCUGUACAGGGGGAUAACCCGGAGAAAUUCGGACUAAUAUCCCGUAAUAAUAUCCGGAGGCAUCUUUGGAUAUUUAAAGUUCCGACGGUACGGGAUGGGCAUGCGUAACAUUAGCUGGUUGGUAAGGUAACGGCUUACCAAGGCUAUGAUGUUUAGGGGUCCUGAGAGGGUGGUCCCCCACACUGGUACUGAGACACGGACCAGACUCCUACGGGAGGCAGCAGUGAGGAAUAUUGGUCAAUGGGCGCAAGCCUGAACCAGCCAUCCCGCGUGCAGGAAGACGGCCCUAUGGGUUGUAAACUGCUUUUCCAGGGAGAGAAACUUACGCACGUGUUGCGUGACUGACGGUACCCUGGGAAUAAGCAUCGGCUAACUCCGUG